AUUCCUGCAGCCUGAGCUGGGCCAGCUGCUGUUCCACGGGACAGGCAGUCUAAUCAGACAGCCCUACCUACUACUCCACUACACCACUACAGUCCAGUCCCCUGCGGGAGAGAGGCAGUGGGGCCCAGGGAUCUUUCAGCAUUUGCUAUGUGGCAGCUGUUACUUUGUUUUCUUCUCUUGGCUUGAAAGGCUGGGAACUCAGAGCCAACGGAACAGCAACAACAACAAUACCGAGUUUCCACAGAGUCCCUGUGGACCCAGCACCUGGCCAGUGCUCAAGAGCGCCCUAGCACCAAUGGUUUCAUCACCCUUUAAAAGAAGUUCUGGACGGGUCCGGGGUUGUGAAGACCUCUUCUGCGUCUCAGAUUUGCCUGUGCGUGAGACCGUCUGGGAGUCCUUGGCGCUUUCCUUGGCGUGUUCAGAGUAUAAACUGGAUUAGGUCUCAGCACAGACAGAUCACCAUCGUAGCAGAGCCCACAUGAUCGAAUUCUAACUGGUCACAGUCCUUUCAUUUGCAGAUACCAUCUAAAACUGUGGAUUUCUCAUGGAAAGUCUCAGCGAUGACUUUCGUCCCUUGAUCCACUUGAAGUCCUGUCUCUGAGGGGCACAGAAGCCAACCAGUGACGGCAGAGAGGAGUGGCAGGAACCAGGAGGUUGACUGGGGAAGGGGUGCUGAGGAGGAUGGGGGUGGGGGUGGGGCAGGGAGAUAGGAAUGUUCUGUGUUGUGAGAGAGGUAUGGGUUACAGAGGCAAAAACAGUGGCCAAGAUAUGUGUCAAUCAUAACUCAGUCCCAGUUAAACACCCAGUUUAAAGAGCUGCUCGAUGCUUCCGUUUGCCUACCUGUAAGGUGGAAACGGCAGCACCAUACUCUCUAAGGCAGUGCUGGGCGAUUGAACGAUGAGGCCGUGCAUGCUCCCUGAGGCUGUGCUAUGCAGCUAACCGUUGUGGGUGGUGGCUGUUAUCCUUACAAUUUCUAUGCAAAAGGCAGUCUUCACUGUCUAAGCCCUUGUUCCUCCCGCCUUGAUUUUUCGGGGUAUCUCCUCCCUGCCAUAGUGUAAUUCCACCUGCCUCCAAAUCUGUAUCUCUUCUUCCAUUGCAAAGUAGCAUGACCCAGCCUCAAGUCUGUCUCUCUCUGUAAUGGCUUUGACCCCAACUACCCAAAUUCCCCAAAUACUCUUCUAAGAGGGACCACAGUCUUCGCUGAGCUGGCCCUAAGACUUCCUUCCACUCAGUCUCACUGAUGUUAAUAUGGCUAUUAUUAUUAUUAUUAUCAUCAUUAUCACCAUCUAAAAAUAAAUCCUGUACUUGUUGCCACA